rnacentral:rRNA from 1 species
UACAGAGGUCUCAAGCGUUGUUCGGAAUUACUGGGCGUAAAGGGUGCGCAGGCCGCGCGGGCAGUCAAAUGUGUAAUCCAGGGGCUCAACCCCCUGAACUGCGCUUGAUACUUCCGCGCUCGAGCUUUGGAGAGGAGUCUGGAAUUCUCGGUGUAGCGGUGAAAUGCGCAGAUAUCAGGAGGAACACCAAUGGCGAAGGCAGCACUCUGGGACGUGACUGACGCUGAGAGCGAAAAGCGUGGGGGAGCAAAACAGG